UGACAUGCCUUGCUCCGAGCCCUCACCACUAGCAAGGACAAGAGAGUCAACCAACUCCUGGUAUGCCUUUGCUACAAAUUCAUAGGGCAAUCUACAAAGAGAAAAUGCUAAAGCUCCUCUAGGCUGUCUGGCUUCCAAAAGAAGUUACAGUUCUACACUGCAAAGGACACCAGAAAGGAGACAACCCUACAGCAAGAGAAAAUCAUCUAGCAGACAAAGCAGCCAAGAUAGCAGCUAAUAAGGAGCCCUGCUCCAGCCACACCCUGGAAGCUGACAGGUCUAUGCACAGCAGAAGCUUGAGGAAUCACUGGUCUGAUAAGAUAGACUGUCCUUACUUUUUGCCAUCGGAUUGGCAGAGGUUGCGCCAGAAAGCUGGGGAAAUGGUUCUUCUUCCCACCCUGCUUGUCGCACACGUUAAUG